CGGCAGCACGGGAGCAAUCCUGGUGGCGAGUGGCGAACGGGUGAGUAAAGUAUCGGAACGUGCCCAGUCGUGGGGGAUAACGCAGCGAAAGUUGUGCUAAUACCGCAUACGAUCUAUGGAUGAAAGCGGGGGAUCGCAAGACCUCGCGCGAUUGGAGCGGCCGAUAUCAGAUUAGGUAGUUGGUGGGGUAAAGGCUCACCAAGCCGACGAUCUGUAGCUGGUCUGAGAGGACGACCAGCCACACUGGAAC
rnacentral:rRNA from 1 species